GGCCUGAUGGUCUAGUAGUAUGAUUCCUUGUUAGGGUUGUCGUUCAUCUACGAUGGUUAUUCGAGGAGGUCCCGGGUUCAAUUCCCGGUCAGGCCC